CCGGCGACCGGCGCACGGGUGAGUAACACGUAUGGAACCUGCCCNAGCAGGGGGAUAAGCGGAAGAAAUUCCGUCUAAUACCGCGUAACACCGCAGAGGGGCAUCCCUCGGCGGUUAAAGAUUCAUCGGCUGCGGAUGGCCAUGCGGCGCAUUAGCUAGUCGGCGGGGUAACGGCCCACCGAGGCGACGAUGCGUAGGGGUUCUGAGAGGAAGGUCCCCCACACUGGUACUGAGACACGGACCAGACUCCUACGGGAGGCAGCAG
rnacentral:rRNA from 1 species